UGGGGAAUAUUGCACAAUGGGGGCAACCCUGAUGCAGCGACGCCGCGUGAACGAAGAAGGUAUUCGUAUCGUAAAGUUCUGUCCUAUGGGAAGAUAAUGACAGUACCAUAGAAGAAAGCUCCGGCUAAAUACGUGCCAGCAGCCGCGGUAAUACGUAUGGAGCGAGCGUUGUCCGGAAUUAUUGGGCGUAAAGGGUACGCAGGCGGUUUAAUAAGUCGAAUGUUAAAGAUCGGGGCUCAACCCCGUAAAGCAUUGGAAACUGAUAAACUUGAGUAGUGGAGAGGAAAGGGGAAUUGAUAGUGUAGUGGAGAAAUACGUAGAUAUUAGGAGGGAUACCAGUAGCGAAGGCGACUUUCUGGACACAAACUGACGCUGAGGUACGAAAGCGUGGGGAGCAAACAGG
rnacentral:rRNA from 1 species